rnacentral:misc_RNA from 1 species
AAAAAAAAAAAAAAAGAAAUAUAACAAAUUAGCCUACUAACCUAAUUUUCAAUGUGAAGCAAUAAACUAUUCUAUAAAAACAUGGUACUAUAAAUUGGACUUAUCACAUGUUGCUUUCAAAACCUAUUAGAUGAAUAGAGUUUGUAUCUACCAUCAUUUAGCACAAGUGUAAAACUUCUUUUCCCCAUUUGAAAGCACAACUCUCCUUUUGAUUCUAGGCAAAAUGCAUAUUUCGGUCCUUAACUUUAAUACUUUUAUCUAUUGAGUCUCUAUAGUUUAAUUUAUCUAAAUCAAGACCCCAAACUUUUAUUUUUUGGCUUUGGGUCCUUUUCUGACAGAGGUGGUCCUUUUCUAACAGAGCUUAAGUGCAUGAAACACAUUGUUAAAUAUGUGUGAAUGCAACAAAAGACUGACAUGUAUGUGAUAAACAACACUCCCAACACUCCAUUUUUUCUAUCAGUCAUGUUAGAAUUUUCAUAUACAUCAUACAAAUUUGAGUGCAGAUGAACAAAACUGCCAACGGAACAUCUCUUUAAUUUUCUUCACCCUUACUUGUUCAAUUUCUCAAUCUCUUGCUUCUUCACCUAAUUGUAGGUAUAUCCAUUAUGUACAGGUGUUUAUCAAAUCAACUGGUGGUCAUCAAUUGGAAUUAGUUAAUCAAUUGCAAUAAUAACAUGUGGAAAACGAUGAUCUGAGUUGGUUAAUUUUGAAAAUAUUUUUUGGGUGUCCUGUUGACUUUCUAUGGAAAUAAAUGGAUGUUGUCAGCAAUUCUUUUAUAAAUUGUUGAGGCUUUCACAGUGUUGGAGUUGAUCUUUUUGUUGAAGUCAGCGUUUCAAAGUGUGCAUUUUUCUGAAGUGGAAGCAGUUUUGAGUUACAGAACACAGAAAUUGAAACAUGAAAAUAAGGUGAAUGAAAGCAGCUCAACAAAGAGAAUGAAUUGCUGCAACUCAAAAUAUUAGAUAAAAUGGGGGUUGAGCAUGCACUUAAGAGGUGUGUGAGAGAGUGCAUUAAGCUAAGAGAGUUGAAUUCUAGAAUCGAAAGAGAGGCUAACGAAUUCAAUACGCGAUUGCAAGGUUUUGCAUUGUACUGGAUAAGUAGGCCAUCAUUGAGCUUAAGCGAAAGAAUUGUGAAUUAGAAUGUUCAAGAUUGAAAGCUGAGACUGAGUCAGAUGUUUAUAAAAGGAAAUUUGAAGAAUUAGAGCUGCGAGUUUCGAGUUUGGAGAAAGAUACAGUGUUGUUGAUGAGUUUGGACCUAUCGCCUUCCACAAUUGCUAGGGUUUCCAGGGAGUUUUUGGGAGAGAAGGCUGUUGGUGAAAAUGAAAAAAGUUGUGACAAGCUUGAUAAUGUGCAAAUUCAAGUGGGUGUGAUCGAAAAUGUGCCUUGGAAGGCAGAUGGCAAUCCUAGUUGUCUUGUACCAGAAGAUGGAGGUGGGAAUUUGAAAAUUACUGGUGCUACGUGUAUCUCACCGGAGAAUAUGGAUGCUGGUACGGAUGCUGCAGGUAUUGCUGAAUUCUUUGAUUUUUAUUUGCUUAUGUAUUGAUUAAUCAAAUAGGUUUUGUCAAUUUUUAGAUAAUGUUUGCUUGUCAUACGGAGUGACAGAAGAGAAAAGGAUGAGUGAAAAUGAAGAGGUUGAAAGUAAACCAAAUAGUGGGUGUAUAAGUGAAAAGCAUGUUGAUUUGGUGCCAAAAGGUCCUGGAUAUUGCCAUCGGCCAGAUGAGAAUGGAACAGGCAGUGGGAAACCUAAUAAAGCGGAGAUUGUUCAGAUUAUUGAUAGUGAUGAUGACUCUUGUCCAUGUGAAAUUUUGGGUACAGAAGAGAUGGCUACCACAAAACAUUCAGGGCAAGCAGUUGCUGAAAAUGGGACUGGAACUGGAGUGCUCAAAAGAAAAUGGGCUUCAAGUGUCAACAAAGGAGAGAGUGGCAAUGAGGAGAAAGAUAAUGCUCAAGAUGCUGAUGACAGUUGUACAACUGGUAAACAUAACAUUACAAAACUUCAAAAGAUUAUCUGUAUGUGUAAUAGUUCUCCUGCCAAGAAUUGUUCAGCAGCAGCCAUGUCUUAUGAAACUAAUAACAGUGGAAGAGAAUUUACUCCAUCAAAGCCAGCUUUUUUGCUACAGUUUGAAAAGAAAAUGGGGGCAGAUAAUAAAUCUCAAAAUCAAAAGGGUGACCCUUUUAUGGAUGGGUCUGACAGUUCAAGUUCCUCUGACUCAGAAUAUGAAUGGGAUUUAUCAGUGGAUUUUUCUAGAAUGAAUAAGAGUUGGCAACGAGGGCAAGGAAAUGGAGCUAAUAAAAGGUGGGAGCUUGAAGCAGACAUGAUUGCCACAUUUGAGAAAGAUGGAGAACUUUGCAUGGAGGCUGUCUGUGCUCUGUACAGGCAGCAAACCUCUGUGAGGAAAUCAAUUUGUGGCUCUUCAAGUUCUGAAAAUCGAGGUUUUAACAAGUUAGUUGUAACCAGGGGUACUACUUUGGCGGAGUUUCUCAUUGAUGGUGAUCCGCAAGGGAAGCUGAAGAAAUCAAAAACAGAGUUGAUGGCCUAUAACCAUAAAGGCCUUGACGACUGUAGAAGACUUGCAAUUGGGCACUCUAAACAGUUGUUUGAGAUAUACCAGAAGCAAGAAGAUUCUCUAUUCUUGAAUUGACAAAUAAUUUUCUUGUCAGAAAUUGGUCCUGAUUCUAAUUGUAGAUCCAAGCACCUAAUGCGUUUUAUUUUUUUUUUACCAUGCACAAGUAGAAUCCUAACGUGAUAGUUUUGAUCCUCACCUGAUAGUUUUACUGUAGAUGCCUCGUUACAUCAUAGACAUUUUGCCAUUUCUGCUAGUACCGAUGCAUGCCUUCAGUUUCUCCUGGAGAAAUGGGUGCCAUUUUCGUAGACCCAGAAAGGAUUAGAAAAACAGAAUUAAGGGAUACAAUUUCAAUGUUGAUUUUGUAUUUUUGGAUGUCAAUGAAAAGUUGCUUGUGGAUAUAAGACAGGAUAUUUAGUUGCAAAUUUCGCACCUUCAAGAAGUCCUAUCUACGAACUGAUAACGCGCAAGAAGCCCGCCACUAUUGCUGAGCUCAGUUCUUAAAUGCAUAUACUUGUGACUUGCCGAGUCAUGUUAGGUGCCUUUUGAUGAGUUCCAUGCUGGAGUGGUAACUCUUGUUUUUGCUAAGCAAGAAGUCCAGUACUAAUUUCCUCGACCAUUUCAUUCAGCAUCAACUAUUAUCCAGUGUUGGGGAUAAUUGCACCAAUCAAAC